rnacentral:rRNA from 1 species
UACGAAGGGGGCGAGCGUUGUUCGGAAUUACUGGGCGUAAAGGGCGCGCAGGCGGCCCUUGAAGUCAGGCGUGAAAGCCCCGGGCUCAACCUGGGAAUUGCGAUGGAGACUGCAAGGCUAGAAUCUGGCAGAGGGGGGUAGAAUUCCACGUGUAGCAGUGAAAUGCGUAGAGAUGUGGAGGAACACCGAUGGCGAAGGCAGCCCCCUGGGUCAAGAUUGACGCUCAUGCACGAAAGCGUGGGGAGCAAACAGG